rnacentral:lncRNA from 1 species
UUUAUUAUUGAUUUCUUUUAUUAUAUCUCAUAAGUAAACCCAUUUAUAAUGUCAAUUAAUUGUGUCAACCAUUUCAAUAUUAAACAAGUGAAAAACUUAACAAAAAUAUACAUGUUUACAAAUACAUUGUAAAAACAAGACAAUAGAAAUAACAGUAAAAUAAUUGGUCACUUUGGCUUCCCUACUUCCAUCACCAUCUACAGAAAGCAUUUACACAAUACACAAUAUGACUUACACAUACACAAUUAAACUUACACAUACACAACAUCACUUGUUCAUACACUUUAUUACUUGUGCAUACACUAUAUCACUUGUAUAUAGAAUUAAUUGCAUAACAGUGUGGUCGACAGUAAAACGUUUGUAGGUUGUAACUUGUUUGUCAACGGCUAUGAUUUUAUGCUCACCCAGUCUGUCAGAGGCCUUCCAGUGGGGAUUGAAAUAUUCACUUGUUACACAUUCCGAUACAUAAAAUGAAACUUUCUUUUUACAAAGCUUGAAAGGAAAUUGUUUUAAAUAUUUAUUAUAAUCAUCACAUACAACCGUGUCAUUUAUAAGAAUAAUAAUGUUCAGAGAUGAUAUUAUUUAAUAAUAAUAAAAAAAUAGGUUUAUCCAUUGUAAAAAAAAACUAUCAAGUUGAUGGGGUUAAUUCAAAAAAUAUCUCAUUGAUUAAGAGCACAACUACUUCUACGGUGUGAUCAUUUAAAAUGGCCUACUAUUUAUUCAAUGCGUAUACAUGUGGGUUUUGUUUGUGAAGAGUUCUGGAUAAUUAAAAAAUCAUUUGAUUCCUUUGUUUAAUACCAUAAAACGAUUCAUUCUUUCAGAUAUUUGUCACUUUGCCUUAUCUUCAAGUCCAACACAAUUUCUCACGUUUCUUACAAAACUUAUAUUUUUGUGAUGUAUUCUUUUGUUGAAAAAAAAAUGUAUAGAUAUAGAUAGAUAUAGGAAGAUGUGGUAUGAGUGCCAAUGAGACAACUCUCCUCCCAGUAAUAAUUCAUAAAAGUAA